rnacentral:rRNA from 1 species
CCUACGGGCGGCAGCAGUGGGGAAUAUUGGACAAUGGGCGAAAGCCUGAUCCAGCAAUGCCGCGUGUGUGAAGAAGGUCUUCGGAUUGUAAAGCACUUUCGACGGGGACGAUGAUAACGGUACCCGUAGAAGAAGCCCCGGCUAACUUCGUGCCAGCAGCCGCGGUAAUACGAAGGGGGCUAGCGUUGCUCGGAAUGACUGGGCGUAAAGGGCGCGUAGGCGGUUUAUGCAGUCAGAUGUGAAAUCCCCGGGCUUAACCUGGGAACUGCAUUUGAGACGCAUAGACUAGAGGUCGAGAGAGGGUUGUGGAAUUCCCAGUGUAGAGGUGAAAUUCGUAGAUAUUGGGAAGAACACCGGUGGCGAAGGCGGCAACCUGGCUCAAUACUGACGCUGAGGCGCGAAAGCGUGGGGAGCAAACAGGAUUAGAUACCCCCGUAGUC